GAAAUGCGAUAUGUAAUGUGAAUUGCAGAAUUCAGUGAAUCAUCGAAUCUUUGAACGCACAUUGCGCCCGCCAGUAUUCUGGCGGGCAUGCCUGUUCGAGCGUCAUUUCAACCAUCAAGCCCCCGGCUUGUGUUGGGGACCUGCGGCUGCCCGCAGGCCCUGAAAAACAGUGGCGGGCUCGCUGUCACACCGAGCGUAGUAGCAUACAUUCUCGCUCAGGGCGUGCUGCGGGUUCCGGCCGUUAAACGACCUUCAUAACCCAAGGUUGACCUCGGAUCAGGUAGGAAGACCCGCUGAACUUAAGC
rnacentral:misc_RNA from 1 species